rnacentral:RNase_P_RNA from 1 species
CCAGUCGGCUGGACGGCCGCUGCCGAAACGCAGAGGAAAGUCCGGGCUCCACGGAGACACGGCGCCGGAUAAGGUCCGGCGGGGGCGACCCCAGGGAUAGCGCCACAGAAAGCAAACCGCCGCGCAAGCGGUAAGGGUGAAAGGGUGCGGUAAGAGCGCACCGCCCGGACGGCGACGUUCGGGGCACGGCAAGCCCCGCCGGGAGCAAGACCGAAUAGGGGCGACGGAAGG